rnacentral:rRNA from 1 species
GUGAACGCUGGCGGUAGGCCUAACACCUGCAAGUCGAACGGCAGCACAGUAAGAGCUUGCUCUUACGGGUGGCGAGUGGCGGACGGGUGAGGAAUACAUCGGAAUCUACUUUUUCGUGGGGGAUAGCGUAGGGAAACUUACGCUAAUACCGCAUACGACCUACGGGUGAAAGCAGGGGAUCUUCGGACCUUGCGCGAUUGAAUGAGCCGAUGUCGGAUUAGCUAGUUGGCGGGGUAAAGGCCCACCAAGGCGACGAUCCGUAGCUGGUCUGAGAGGAUGAUCAGCCACACUGGAACUGAGACACGGUCCAGACUCCUACGGGAGGCAGCAGUGGGGAAUAUUGGACAAAGGGCGCAAGCCUGAUCCAGCCAUACCGCGUGGGUGAAGAAGGCCUUCGGGUUGUAAAGCCCUUUUGUUGGGAAAGAAAAGCAGCAGGUUAAUACCCCGCUGUUCUGACGGUACCCAAAGAAUAAGCACCGGCUAACUUCGUG